rnacentral:lncRNA from 1 species
AUCUCCCUGGGAACCGUCUGUAGCCCCCACGGGUGUAAAGCGGUCGAGCCUUUCCCCCCUCCGACGCGCGGGCAGUUGGUGCGGUCCUGUUUGAAGCUGGGAGCGAACGCUCAGUGAACCAACGGCAGCAGUAGUUCCGUGAGGGGGCUCGAGAGCGGCCGGGCAGCCCCCUGUCUCGUCACCACCGCCCGGCCCCGGCCGCUGUCCCUUCCCCACCGCCCGGUCUGGCCCCAGCCUCUAAACCACCGCCCGGACCCUCCAGGGAAGGAGGAACAAGAUGCCUAACCCCGGAGAGGAGACACCCCCCAGUGACUGCAGUGAUCCAGAGAGUGUGCCCUGUAGGCCCAGGAAAGCGAGGCAGGCCCAGGAGAGCCAUGAUGGGGACGUGCCCAGCCUCUGCCCACCACAGCUGCCAACGUGUACGUCUGCCUCCGAUUAAGCUAGAAAAGUCCAGUCUCUACCAUCCUCACAGGGUUCAGUGCAAACAGUGGUUUAACCAGGGAUGACAGGGCUUCGGGGAGAGAUUUGACAGAGAGCCCUUGGGUUUGGAAAGGGACCGGUAGUGGGGUCAUGCCAUCCUGCUGCUUCCAGGCAGGGCUGAUUUUUACUAAACUAGCGCUGAGAGAUGUAUAGCCUCCACAUUUGAGGCAGAGACUGGACAAAUGCUCUUGGCAGCUUGAACCAUUGCUGACCUGUUUUUAGACUAAGUUCUGCAAUGGCUCUUUUUCUACAUUUAAUAAUGUUAUGACUGGGCCUCGUGCAUAGUGUGCUGAAGUGGCGCUGUGGGGCAGAAAACAUACAAAUCUUUAACUAAAAAGAACAGGAGUACUUGUGGCACCUUAGAGACUAACAAAUUUAUUAGAGCAUAAGCUUUCGUUGACUACAGCCCACUUCUUCGGAUCCAUAUAGAAUGGAACAUAUAUUGGAGUCUGUUUUUGAAGUUUUUCUGUUGUAAUAUAGCCACCCGCAGGUCUGUCAUUGAAUGACCAGACAGGUUAAAGUGUUCUCCCACUGGUUUUUGAGUAUUAUGAUUCAGACUU